AGCCUUGUCUUUUAUUUAACACAUAAAGCUGUAACCCUGUCUGUAGGCCAUGUCCAUCUCUGAGAACUGGUAUGCCAUUAAAGACCACGGCACCAACUACUGCAACCUCUACAACCUCAUUGAAGGAAGUGGUCUAACUGAAGCCAGAGGUUAUAAAGAGGUCACCAGUGACUUCCUGUGUACCCAACGAUCCACUGCUAACUGCUCCAUCUACUGACCAAAGACCAUCAAACGGCUCCAGCAAUACAGCUUGGUCUCCAGCAGCAUGGUGUCAGUGUUGGAUCCCAGCGGGGAGCAGAGGAGCAGCGUGGUGAAGCUCUUCUCCUGGAGGAGGAGGAGACGCUGCUGCUGGCAGCGGAGCUCUCCUCCACCUGCUGGAGCUCCGACUGCUGGUUGAAGGCUG